ensembl:lncRNA
CUUGUUUAAAGCUUAGCACUGUGUGUUGUCUGGCUAUUCCUUGCCUUUUUCUAAUGAACCUGGAUCAAGAAAAUAAAAGUAGAAAAAUUCAUUAUCAUGCAAGAAUCCUUACUAAUUGGAUCCUUGAAAGUAGCAACACAGGUUAUUUCACAAAAAUAUAGUGAUUGUACUAUGUCAUUUUGUAAUUAAUCAAUCAUUAUUCAUUAAGCACCUACAAUAUACAAUACCAGGCACUGUGGUGCCAAGAGCUGGAGAUACAAAAUAGCCAGAAUACAGUUCCUGUUCUCAAGGAGUUUAUAAUCCAGUGAAGGUGACAACAUGCAAACAUAUAUACCAAACAACUAAUAUAGAGGAUAAAGAGGAAAUUAGUGACAGAAGGAAGGCAUGAGCAUUAAAUGGAGGUAAAGACGACUUCUAGUAAAAGACUGGAUUUUUUUUUUUUUGACUUAAAGGAAACCAGAGAAUUUGGGAAUGUAAAAUUGAGAUUUGAACUCUGGACUCCAUUCCCCAGGAGUCCUUGCUAGCUCCCAGAAUGCCCUCUAAUCUCACUGAAUUCUCAAAUGGGCUGAGAGCAAAAUGAUUAUUCAGAGGGUCUCCGCCCACAGUGGGCGCUCUUCUCUUCUUGGCUCCUCUGGCAAACAAAUGCGUCUCAUGAUAUCCUUCAAUUGGCUCCCAGCCUCCAUAUGCCAUAUCUCCUGGCCUCCUGGCUUCUGUGACUUCUGUGCCACCAUGCUGACUGACCCAGGCAUGUGAUUUUGUGAUUCCUAUGUUCACCCACUAUGGAAUCAGCAGGAGUGAAUGGGGACAUUCAGUGAGCUGCGAGUUCAGAUCCUCAAAGGUGAAAAGAAGAAUGACAGUGGUAAGAAGAAUGAAACAGAUACUGCAGUAUCAAGAGGGAGGAUCAAAGAAGCUGAUGGCAAUCAAGGGCUAUUUUAUUGAGGGUAAUCUCAGUUUUUAUAGGGGGAGAAAAACAAGCUGAAGCUUUGACACACACUUUCCACAUCCAUAGUAAAAUGCAAUGAUUAACAGAGAGACCUUAAGUGAUCACAGUAUACCCUGUCAUACAUUAGUGAUUUAUCAGAUAUAUGUUUUGCAAGAGUCUGAGAGAUGGGAGAAUUUCCAUAGAUUACUUUCUACAUACAUAGAGUUUCCCUGAUUUAUAUGAUACAUACAUAAGAGUUUGUUUAUGUUAUCUACACUUUUAGUGGUUUCUAGGGGUAUUGGACACAAACAUGCCCUUGGUGGAGGAGAGAUAGGAGGGGAAAUGUGACUGGGGAUAUUCUGCUCUAUGGACUUGAGCCUUGUUUGAGGGUCUCUUGACCCAAGCUUUGCUUGGGGAUCUCAGCCUGCUAUAAGCAGGGUUCCAAAGAUAUCUAUUAAUGCUUCCUAUAAAUUACAUUUAUACAACUCAGAUGAACACAAACAUCUACAUGUUCAGCACAUGAAUUUUCCCUUGAAUUGUGGUGGAACCAUUUUGAACAAACUCAAGAGAAAAAAAUUGUUAAAUUUUCAUAGUGAGCAUUUAUACCUCAGAAAUAGGCAAACACUACAAAUCAGGGUUUGAUUUUUUAAAGUUGCCUAGGCUUAAGAAAAUGAUGAAAAAAUGUUAAUAAUUAAAUGCAAAACUACAUCAUACAUGGAUUUUCUCUCCACCCCCCCCCAGUGCUGGUUUUACCAACAUACCAUUGAUUCUUUGUCACUGGACAUAUUCAAAUAAAGACUGAACAAUCAUUUUAUGUAUAUUUUAU